rnacentral:rRNA from 1 species
UAGGGAAUAUUGGACAAUGGGGGCAACCCUGAUCCAGCCAUGCCGCGUGAGUGAAGAAGGCCCUCGGGUUGUAAAGCUCUUUUGUCCGGAAAGAAAAGCAUUCGGUGAAUACCCGGAUGUUCUGACGGUACCGGAAGAAUAAGCACCGGCUAACUUCGUGCCAGCAGCCGCGGUAAUACGAAGGGUGCAAGCGUUACUCGGAAUUACUGGGCGUAAAGCGUGCGUAGGUGGUUGUUUAAGUCUGAUGUGAAAGCCCUGGGCUCAACCUGGGAAUGGCAUUGGAAACUGGGCAGCUAGAGUGCGGUAGAGUGUAGUGGAAUUCCCGGUGUGGCAGUGAAAUGCGUAGAGAUCGGGAGGAACAUCUGUGGCGAAGGCGACUGCCUGGACCAGCACUGACACUGAGGCACGAAAGCGUGGGGAGCAAAC